UACGUAGGCAGCGAGCGUUGUUCGGAGUUACUGGGCGUAAAGGGUGUGUAGGCGGUUGUUUAAGUUUGGUGUGAAAUCUCCCGGCUCAACUGGGAGGGUGCGCCGAAUACUGAAUGACUUGGAGUGCGGGAGAGGAGAGUGGAAUUCCUGGUGUAGCGGUGAAAUGCGCAGAUAUCGGGAAGAACACCCGUGGCGAAGGCGGUUCUCUGGGACGGUACUGACGCUGAGACGCGAAAGCGUGGGGAGCGAACAGG
rnacentral:rRNA from 1 species